rnacentral:rRNA from 1 species
CCUACGGGUGGCUGCAGUGAGGAAUAUUGGUCAAUGGACGAGAGUCUGAACCAGCCAAGUAGCGUGAAGGAUGACUGCCCUAUGGGUUGUAAACUUCUUUUAUAUGGGAAUAAAACGUUCCACGUGUGGGAUUUUGUAUGUACCAUAUGAAUAAGGAUCGGCUAACUCCGGGCCAGCAGCCGCGGUAAUACGGAGGAUCCGAGCGUUAGCCGGAUUUAUUGGGUUUAAAGGGAGCGUAGGGGGAUUGUUAAGUCAGUUGUGAAAGUUUGCGGCUCAACCGUAAAAUUGCAGUUGAAACUGGCAGUCUUGAGUACAGUAGAGGUGGGCGGAAUUCGUGGUGUAGCGGUGAAAUGCUUAGAUAUCACGAAGAACUCCGAUUGCGAAGGCAGUUCACUGGACUGCAACUGACACUGAGGCUCGAAAGUGUGGGUAUCAAACAGGAUUAGAUACCCCUGUAGUC